AUGGUUCUGCAAUCCAUGAGCAACGAUCAUCAUCCAUCGCUGCUCCUUGAUGGCUUCCCUACUUUCUGCCCUGCCUUGCCCCUAAUAUCGCCGCCACCACCACCGGAGAAUGGCACUGACUGUCAUGAUGCCAUCCAGCUAUCACAGAUGCUGGCCGCGGAUGAGCAAGGAGCGGUGGCUCAUCAUCAGCAAGAUCCGAGCACCGUUAGUAAGAAGAGAGAGGAACGGGACAGGGCCAAGCAAAGGUACAACGAGAAGAAGAAGAACAGGAAGUUCUGCAAGCAGAUCAUGUACGCGUCCCGAAAAGCAAGGGCGGACACACGAAAGCGAGUCAAGGGCAGAUUCGCCAAGGCUACCAAUGAACACCAACACAUACUACACCCAGAUGCAGCAUAA
rnacentral:rRNA from 1 species